GAGUUUGAUCAUGGCUCAGAUUGAACGCUGGCGGCAUGCCUUACACAUGCAAGUCGAACGGCAGCAUGAUCUAGCUUGCUAGAUUGAUGGCGAGUGGCGAACGGGUGAGUAAUACAUCGGAACGUGCCCUGUAGUGGGGAGUAACUAGUCGAAGAUUAGCUAAUACCGCAUACGACCUGAGGGUGAAAGUGGGGGACCGCAAGGCCUCAUGCUAUAGGAGCGGCCGAUGUCUGAUUAGCUAGUUGGUGGGGUAAAGGCCCACCAAGGCGACGAUCAGUAGCUGGUCUGAGAGGACGAUCAGCCACACUGGGACUGAGACACGGCCCAGACUCCUACGGGAGGCAGCAGUGGGGAAUUUUGGACAAUGGGCGAAAGCCUGAUCCAGCAAUGCCGCGUGUGUGAAGAAGGCCU
rnacentral:rRNA from 1 species